GGGGAUGACAGGUUUCGACGAUGUUAGUCGCGCCAGGGGAAGCGGGCCGAGGAUGCAGAGUUAUCUCGGAAACGCUCUCUGCAAACCAAUAAGUGCCGAAUCUAAGCGCACUGACUUCGCACUCGCUGCCUAAGUAGCGUUGCAAGUCCGUCAGCCCGGGGAUGCUCUCGCCCCGGAUGCUGGCGUCAUUAAGAGAGCCACUGCUGGAUACCUCCGCCGUUGGGGUAUUCGGAACAUUUAGACGGCUGGGCCCGGGUCAGCCACCUGUUUGCAGGAUGGUUGGGGCCAAGAAAACCCGAAGCAAACUGCGCCCGGAGAAGUCCUGGCAACACAACAUCGGACGGGGGUUCAAUUCCCCCCAUCUCCACUG
rnacentral:tmRNA from 1 species